CCUACGGGGGGCUGCAGUGGGGAAUAUUGCACAAUGGGCGCAAGCCUGAUGCAGCCAUGCCGCGUGUAUGAAGAAGGCCUUCGGGUUGUAAAGUACUUUCAGCGAGGAGGAAGGCGUUAAGGUUAAUAACCUUGGCGAUUGACGUUACUCGCAGAAGAAGCACCGGCUAACUCCGUGCCAGCAGCCGCGGUAAUACGGAGGGUGCAAGCGUUAAUCGGAAUUGGUGGGCGGAAAGCGCAGAUGUGAAAUCCCCGGGCUCAACCUGGGAACUGCAUUUGAAACUGGCAGGCUUGAGUCUUGUAGAGGGGGGUAGAAUUCCAGGUGUAGCGGUGAAAUGCGUAGAGAUCUGGAGGAAUACCGGUGGCGAAGGCGGCCCCCUGGACAAAGACUGACGCUCAGGUGCGAAAGCGUGGGGAGCAAACAGGAUUAGAUACCCGAGUAGUC
rnacentral:rRNA from 1 species